UGGGAGAAACAAAUAAUCACCAACUGCACCAAGCUGUGAACCCUGUGAAUUACAAUAUUGUCUGGCCUGGCAAGAUGUGCCCACUGGUACAACGGUGGCGUGAUAUCAUGGGAGUAACCAGCCACUUUCUGAUUGGAUUUAAGGCAAGCCAACAAAACCCUUGGGGCAUGAAGACCCUUAGCAUCUCCCAGUAGUACCAAGGCAGCGCCCACUGAAAGGACCACCAGGAAGUAGCAUCCUCUCCCAGCACUAAGCAGGAGGCUCAACCUAUCACCCAGCUACCAAGGUAGCCACAGCGAUCCCUGAGCCUCGGGAGCAGAAGGGUGUGAGAAUGACGCACUGCAGAGAUGGCUCACUGAUACUGUGCUUAUCACGCAAGCAUGAGGACCUAAGUUUGGAUCCCCAGACCCCCAAAUCUGAGCUGAGGUCGGGGGAGACAGGCCGGUCACUGGAGCUCAGUAGUCAGCUAAGUACACACAUGCGUAUGCACCUGUUAAGAAAACUGAGAAAGUCUGGAGACAUGGCUCAGUAGUUUAGAACACUAACUGCUCUUCAGGGGACCCAGAUUCUGUGCCCAGCAUCAACAUCAUAACCUUCUGUAACAUCAGUCCCGGGUAAGCAGAUGCCCUGUUCUGGCCUCUGCUGCCAUUGCAUGCACAUGGCACACAUAUAUACAUUCAGGCAAAACAUCCAUAUACAUAAAAUAAUAAAUUUUUUUAAAAACUGACUAAUUCUCUUUAGCAACACAGCAGUAUAUCUUUUUUAAAUGAUUUUUAUUUUGUGUGUUUUUCCUGAAAGUGUGUCUGUGUAUCAUGUGCGUGCAAUGCCCACAAAGACCACAUAUGUAUGUGUGUAUGUGUGUAUGUGUGUAUAUACAUAUAUAAUACAAUACUUUUUGCUAUUUCAUUGUAAAUUCAAAACAGGAUUUAUUCUUGAACAUCCCUUCACUGGUUUUCUGUUGUUUUUCUUUUGUUCUAGGUAGAGUAUAAUAGCAACUGAUGAAGGAAUGCAGUUUGAAUAUUAGUUAAUAUUUCUGCUUGUGUUGACGAGUAAAACAGAGGCGAAACAUAAACCCUGUAGGCCAGAAAGAUGUUUGUCUAUGACUUGUCAAACUGAAUGUUGAUUUUCUAACAUUGGAAGGAUGUUUCCUCAUCUUUUGAACUAUUCACAAUAUAUAACUUUGGUUCUGAUAUAAUUUAUGCUUUUAUAGCUUUGUAUUUAACAAUAGCUGGGUUAGGAUUAAGGAGCUUAUGAUGCUGGUGGAGUUGGGAUGGAAUAAAGUGGGGUAGGUUUAAAUUCAGGAUACCACAAGAUGUCUUUGGACUACAUAGAGACAACUCCUUACACUGUUUUAAGUUAUUAAAGUUAUUGACGAGGAUCGACAGCUUAAUGAGGAAAAGGAGUUGCAGAAAGCAUAUGUCUAUGUGCUCAGAGAGGGAAAAAAAGCAGCGGGCACCGGGAGCUAAGUGUUGUUCAAAGCUGAAAGGAGCAAACGUUCUCCCGUAAACGAUGGAGGUGAGAGCUAAGCGGACUGAACACACUAUUUCUUGCCAGGAGGCCGUCUAAACUAGAAACAGAAACUAGAAUCGAACUGUGUACAUUUAACUUGGUAGAUAAAGAACAGUGAGUAUUAGGAGAAGCAGUAAAUAUCUAUAAACAUACAUGCAAGUUUUCCUAUUAUACAGAAAAGGGCACCAAUAACUAGCAGUUAUUGAGAAAUAACUGAGAAAUGCCUCAAUAUUACAAUAAAACGCCUAGCUAGAUAAGCCAUGAAACCACAAGAUAAAAGCAAGGUAAUAGAGAAUACUACAGAGGAAAAACCUGAAAAUAACUCAGCUUUUUCUCAAAGCUUUUCCUCAUACAAAUGAACACUAAACAAAAAAUUAUAUCAAUGCU